AUUGAACGCUGGCGGCAGGCCUAACACAUGCAAGUCGAACGGUAACAGGAAGAAGCUUGCUUCUUUGCUGACGAGUGGCGGACGGGUGAGUAAUGUCUGGGAAACUGCCUGAUGGCGGGGGAUAACUACUGGAAACGUUAGCUAAUACCGCAUAACGUCGCAAGACCAAAGAGGAGGACCUUCGGGCCUCUUGCCAGCGGAUGUGCCCAGAUGGGAUUAGCUAGUAGGUGGGGUAACGGCUCACCUAGGCGACGAUCCCUAGCUGGUCUGAGAGGAUGACCAGCCACACUGGAACUGAGACACGGUCCAGACUCCUACGGGAGGCAGCAGUGGGGAAUAUUGCACAAUGGGCGCAAGCCUGAUGCAGCCAUGCCGCGUGUAUGAAGAAGGCCUUCGGGUUGUAAAGUACUUUUAGCGGGGAAGAAGGGAGUAAAGUUAAUACCUUCGCACAUUGACGUUACCCGAAGAAGAAGCACCGGCUAACUCCGUG
rnacentral:rRNA from 1 species